UACGGAAGGGGCAAGCGUUGUUCGGAAUCAUUGGGCGUAAAGGGCGUGUAGGUGGUUCUGUAUGUCUACCGUGAAAGCGUACGGCUCAACCGUAUUUAGUCGGUAGAAACUGCAGGACUUGAGGCUGGGAGGGGCUGGUGGAAUUCCCUGUGUAGCGGUGAAAUGCGUAGAGAUGGGGGAGAACACUCGUGGCGAAGGCGGCCAGCUAGACCAGUUCUGACACUGAGGCGCGACAGCGUGGGGAGCAAACAGG
rnacentral:rRNA from 1 species